rnacentral:pre_miRNA from 1 species
CUUCUACUCCCUCUAUUCCGAAUUACUUAUUGCAGAUAUAGAUGUAUCUAAAUGUAUUUUAGUUUUAGAUACAUUCAUUUCUGCGAUGAAUAAUUUGGAACGGAGAGAGUAGUAC